rnacentral:rRNA from 1 species
UAAUACGUAGGGGGCAAGCGUUGUCCGGAAUUAUUGGGCGUAAAGCGCGCGCAGGCGGUCAAUUAAGUUGGGUGUUUAAGCCCGGGGCUCAACCCCGGUUCGCAUCCAAAACUGGUUGACUUGAGUGUAGGAGAGGAAAGUGGAAUUCCACGUGUAGCGGUGAAAUGCGUAGAGAUGUGGAGGAACACCAGUGGCGAAGGCGACUUUCUGGCCUAUAACUGACGCUGAGGCGCGAAAGCGUGGGGAGCAAACAGGAUUAGAUACCCUGGUAGUCCACGCCGUAAACGAUGCAUACUAGGUGUUGGGGAUUCGAUUCCUCGGUGCCGAAGUUAACACAGUAAGUAUGCCGCCUGGGGAGUACGCUCGCAAGAGUGAAACUUAAAGGAAUUGACGG